rnacentral:rRNA from 2 species
CCUCUAGGGUUACCGAAUUCAGACAAACUCCGAAUGCCAAAUAAUUUAACUUGGGAGUCAGACUAUGGGUGAUAAGGUCCAUAGUCGAAAGGGAAACAGCCCAGACCACCAGCUAAGGUCCCAAAAUAUAUGUUAAGUGGAAAAGGAUGUGGCGUUGCCCAGACAACUAGGAUGUUGGCUUAGAAGCAGCCAUCAUUUAAAGAGUGCGUAAUAGCUCACUAGUCGAGUGACACUGCGCCGAAAAUGUACCGGGGCUAAACAUAUUACCGAAGCUGUGGAUUAUCCGUAAGGAUAAUGGUAGGAGAGCGUUCUAAACGUGUUGAAGCAUGAUCGCAAGGACAUGUGGAAUGUUUAGAAGUGAGAAUGCCGGUGUGAGUAGCGAAAGAUGGGUGAGAAUCC